GAUGAACGCUGGCGGCGUGCCUAACACAUGCAAGUCGAACGGAGAUUACGGACGGAAGUUUUCGGAUGGAAGCCGGUAAUUCUUAGUGGCGGACGGGGGAGUAACGCGUGGGCAACCUGCCCUAUACAGGGGGAUAGCAGCUGGAAACGGCUGAUAAGACCGCAUAAGUCGGUUAAAUCGCAUGAUUUGAUUUGGUAAUGAGCAAUCAGGUAUAGGAUGGGCCCGCGUCCGAUUAGACAGUUGGCAUGGUAAAAGCCUACCAAAGCGACGAGCGGUAGACGGACUGAGAGAUCGGGCGGACACUUUGGCAGUGAGACACGGCACAGACUCCUACGCGAAGCAGCAGUGGGGGAUAUUGCAAAAUGGAGGAAACUAUGAUGCAGCGCCGCCGGGAGAGUGAUGAAGUAUUGCGGUAUGUAAAGCUCUAGUAGCAGGGAAGAUGAUGACGGUACCUGACUAAGAAGCCCCGGCUAACUACGUG
rnacentral:rRNA from 1 species